UACGUAGGGUCCGAGCGUUGUCCGGAAUUAUUGGGCGUAAAGGGCUCGUAGGCGGUUUGUCGCGUCGGGAGUGAAAACCUACAGCUUAACUGUGGGCUUGCAGCCGAUACGGGCAGGCUAGAGUUCGGUAGGGGAGACUGGAAUUCCUGGUGUAGCGGUGAAAUGCGCAGAUAUCAGGAGGAACACCAGUGGCGAAGGCGGCUAUCUGGACGGUUUCUGACGCUAAGACGCGAAAGCGUGGGGAGCAAACAGG
rnacentral:rRNA from 1 species